rnacentral:lncRNA from 1 species
AAAUUAAUCAAAAGAUAUUAUUUAUUUUUUUUCUUUCAAAUGAUUACAACUAAUGUACGGACAUGUCUGAGAUCCUUGUGAAUUGUGUCUAUGUAAUGUGGUGUAUACCGCACCUUGAUCCAUGCGCAAGAGGUCCUCUCUUGCAUGAGAUUGACAGUGUUCUCGGAUCUUACCCACGAGUCCCUGUGGCAUACAUUUUGUGAUCUAUUCUUUGUAGGAACUACAUACUAUAAGUUAGCGGUGCGUCA